rnacentral:rRNA from 1 species
GAUGAACGCUGGCGGAAUGCUUUACACAUGCAAGUCGAACGGCAGCACGGGGGCAACCCUGGUGGCGAGUGGCGAACGGGUGAGUAAUACAUCGGAACGUGCCCAAUCGUGGGGGAUAACGUAGCGAAAGCUACGCUAAUACCGCAUACGAUCUACGGAUGAAAGUGGGGGACCUUCGGGCCUCAUGCUUUUGGAGCGGCCGAUAUCUGAUUAGCUAGUUAGUGAGGUAAAGGCUCACCAAGGCGACGAUCAGUAGCUGGUCUGAGAGGACGACCAGCCACACUGGGACUGAGACACGGCCCAGACUCCUACGGGAGGCAGCAGUGGGGAAUCUUGCGCAAUGGACGAAAGUCUGACGCAGCCACGCCGCGUGAGUGAAGAAGGCC